rnacentral:lncRNA from 1 species
GCCUCUAAUAUUAUCUGACAUCAAAUGGGACAGGACACCAGCCUACCUAUAAGUAUGUAGUAAAAUUCUGACACGAUGACUUAUAGACUUGGCUGCACUCCGAAUGAGGUAGAGCCUUGCCGAUCCUUUGCUGAAUGCUGACCUCGUCUACUAUGAGGGAUCAUCAAACUGAUUAUCUAUACCUGCAGGAAUGAAUGCAGCAUCCCCAACAAAAGGACGUUAGUACGAAUAAUGUACCGAGUAUGUAAAGCAAAACUGGAACAUAAUAGUAAGUCAUCAUUAAUUAAGGACAUGGAAGAAACAUGGGGUAAAUGACUCAACCUGUAUGUCUAGAUAGCUCCGUAAUUAUGAAAUAUUUAUAGUGUCAUGCAUAUGCGUAUGAAUGUCAUGUCGUACAUAGGUACAUGUGUUCAUCACAUCUUCAAGCCUCUGAGAGCACCCCAUCAUAAUCAUAUCAUCUCAGCCACUGUAGGCAAAAUCAUCAACGUAUACCAGCUGAUCAGGUGGUGAUGGGUAUAUAACGUCGUAAUCUUUUCCCAUAUCCCAUAUACAUAUACAUAUAUACGCGUAUAUAACGCCGUCGGAGUCAUGGGUAGAUGCACAUGUAAAUAAAUUCCAUGCAUGAGAAGUACGUUAAUAAAACCUCUCGGAACAUCAUACAACCAUUAUACCUUUGAUUAAUUUCAUGAAGUAAACGUUUUCAAACUUACGUAUUUUUCGGAGACACAUGAACAUAUGAUAAAAUAAUAGGACACAUGGAAAUUGAAGAACAUAGGAACCUCUAGUAUUUAUAUAAAUAGAGUCAUUUAUAAAAAUUGUGCAUUUACUCAUUUCAUUUGUAUCAUAUGGAUCAUGCCAAAAAAAAAGAAGGGGGUUUCGUCAUUCAGUGAUCAAGAAACUUACAUAUAGAAAGAAUUUAUCCGUAGCAGCACAUGAAUUACCGAAUGGAGCAGAUUUCCAUUAAAGGUAAAAGGAACGUCAACUUUUUGGAGAG